ACUCUAUCGUCCCGAAAAAUUAUCUCGCUCUCCAUCUUCUUCUCGUUUGAAAGAUUUUUUUUUUUUACAUGUCUCUCUUUUUGGUUUCAAGGAGAAAAUUAAUCUCUCUUUUGUAUUCCUUUUUAACAGGCUUCUCAUCAACAUCAGUAGGAUCUUCUUAAGGAUCUUAAGCAGUACAUUAUCUCCAUUACGACCCAGUAGCACACUAAUCCUUUGGAUCCUUUGCACAACUGAAGAAGUUUAAGCAAGAGAGGAGGGGUUACAAUGGAUAACUCUGGAAACCGUUUUGCUUUGUUGAACUCUGGAAACCGUUUUGCUUUGUUGCUUGAUGAUGACGAAGAUGUUUCCGCUCUUAUGGAAAAAGUCUCCCUAGCUACCAAGGUUGCUCAUCCUUCUCCAUCACUAAUGGACAAAAGCCUGAAAUCAUCUCCUGUUGCACGUCUUCCUUCUAAGCCUCUGCCACCUGCAGAAUAUGCAAAGGGAGGCAGUAGAGGAAACAAAUAUAGCAGCAGGAAUCGCAAUUAUGGCGACAACGAAAGAAGGGGUCAACAGGGUUCAAGACAGAGCUUUGAUGUGAACAGGAAUGUUUCUGUAGCAAAGGAUGUAGUGUCUGAACAUGGGAAGACUUCAAACGUCUCGGAGAAAGAAGAAAACAAAUGUAUUCCUGCAAAUUUCAACGAGGAGCAUAAUGAUAAAAUUCGUAGAUAUACGGCUUUACUGGAACGUCAUAGAUUGAAUCAUGCAAUAUCCAAGAUUAUGUGUUUCUUCUGGGAUAUCUUUCGCUCUUCUAAAGGUAUCUCAGAAGGACACAAAGCUUGGAUGAGGAAGGAGUGUAGUCUGCAUUUAAUAAGUGAAGACUCACUUUCGUAUUUGCUUAUGGACGCUAAACAUAAGGAACGUUCAUUUGAGUCAUUGCUACAACGUUUAGGAGCUGAAGUGCCGCAGAAGCCAAGGUUUUUCAUAGACAAAAUUCCAGUAAAUGUGACUGACUCUGUGAUCUGGACUUUAAGAGGAGAACUUAAGGCUUUGCAUAAGAAAUAUGAAGAGGUUCUAUCUCGACCAUUGGGGUUCUCCUGAUUGGUAGAAUCUCUUGGACAUCAUGUGAAAACCAGUUGACUUGAAACCAGUGAUUUGCGGAGGACAAAGAGGCAGGGCAAAGAACAAAACAGAAUGAGGGUGUUUAAUUAAGAUAAAUUUGAAUUCACUAUAACCUUUUGAUCAACUUUCUAACCUCUUUAUUUUUCUUAUGUUGCAAAUGAAAUUUCCUCAACAGCUUCACAAGAAUUUCCGGAGUAGAAACGAUAUCUAUUCCAUGACACAUGAGAGAAACCAUUCUCCUCUAGCAGGGUCAUUGGUUACAAGAGCAUGAAACAUGUUGGAGGUGGAGUUGACAAUUUCUAAAGAGAACCCAUCUUUCCACAUAAGAACAAUGCCACAAGUCUGUCCCACAGAGAAACAUGUUGCGAGGCUAUAUUCUUUGGCCGUGCUUAUUCUGCUGUUGCUUUUUGAAAAUUUUCAUCAGAGAAACCAUCAGGAUUCAGUCCUAUAAAAAAUAUCCAAUCAAUGUCUAGUUGUUUAAAAUAUUGAACUUGUGUGAUUACCUGUCUAAGCUUAUACCGGGUAUGGAAGAGGUAAAUCCGUAGUUAUUGAUAUGUAUAUAUAUUCCAAUUAGU